rfam:Schistosoma mansoni strain Puerto Rico chromosome W, complete genome
AUCCAGCCGAUGAGUCUCAAGCACGACGAAACGCACGUCCUGAAU